UGUUUCUCUCUUGAGUUAUUUAAGCAAGUUUCCGGUCUCUAAUUAUUAGUUGGCCUGUUGAAGAAAAUCCUCUAGUUUGUUGUGACGAUUCAAUUUGGCAUUCCACUUGAGUCUCAACCUUUGAAACUCGAGCUACUUGUUGGACGGAUAUCUUUGGAAAGCAGUAGGUUCUACUGGCACGACCUGGCGAGAAAAUGGAGUCCCCAAUGGUUGAAAAGCAAUGUGAUGUGAUUUUAAGUGUCCGGGAGUGUGAUGUCGGGAGCGAGGUGUUGGUGGUGCCGGAGGGCGAUGUGGUAGAAGGGUGUGAGGCAGGAGCGCUGAGGAACGGGCAUGCCCAUGUUGAGGCGAGUACCAACACGUACGAUGACUUGUUUCCCUCGUUGCCCUCAGGCUCGGCCAGUGGCAACUCUGGGAAUCCCAUCGGAGAGUGGAACAAGAAGCCCAAACUACCUUCCACGCAGGUUACGCAGG
rnacentral:lncRNA from 1 species